UGGAGAACACCACGAAGCCGGCGAAGAUGCUUGUGGCGCUGUUCAAAAGGCACAGCGCCACGCAGUCCCUGUUGCGAGCGCACACCGCCUGCUGAAGUCGGGCAAGAGGUAGUAUUUCAGGCCCUCGCUGGCACCGGGCAGCGACACCCCUCGCAUGAAGAGGAUGAUGAGCAUCAGAAUUCCUCCUCGGCGGACUUCACCAUAAAGAAGGAUUCAUUCAGGGACCUGCAGAGGUGGAGCAAAGCACACAAUGAGCAAGUCAAGGACGGCGACGAGUCAACAAUUACCGCACAGACGCAAAAGCGGAGCAGCACAAUGUUUCCCAGCCGAGUUUCUUUUGGAUCGGUCGCACACAUUCGAUGACGCUCACCCUGAAACAUUGGGCAGAUCUUCCUCCAGGCAGUGACGACCCCCUGACUGGUGUACUGGCCCAGUGCCGUCUCCAGGAAAAAGACGGGGAUUCCGCCGAAGGCCAGGAACAGGAAGUAUGGGAUGAGGAAGACACCUGUGCGCCGUGGUGUGAGGAAA